rnacentral:rRNA from 1 species
CUCGUAGGCGGUUCGUCGCGUCCGGUGUGAAGGUCCAUCGCCUAACGGUGGAUCUGCGCCGGGUACGGGCGGGCUGGAGUGCGGUAGGGGAGACUGGAAUUCCCGGUGUAACGGUGGAAUGUGUAGAUAUCGGGAAGAACACCAAUGGCGAAGGCAGGUCUCUGGGCCGUCACUGACGCUGAGGAGCGAAAGCGUGGGGAGCGAACA